UUUGAGGGGAAUGUUGUCUGGCUCGAGGCCACCAAUUAACUUAAUUGAUGUUUGGUCACCGGCCGGUGUGUUUGUUUGUGUCGUCGGACCAGGCUUCAUUCCCCUCAAU